GCCAGGAAGCAGCAUUCGUCUAGGUUCUGCCUUCUGAGUUCCUACCCUGACUUCUUAAUGAUGAUCUGUGCCCUAGAAGUGUAAGCCAAACUAACUCUCCUCCUGAGUUGUUUUUAAUCAAUAUUUUUAUCACAGCAAACAGGAUGAAAAUCAGAAUGUACAUGCUCUAGCACCACUGAGAUACAUCUAAAAUGGCAUCCUCCUAGGGAUACUGUUGAUCUAGAAUCAAGAGAGAGGACUUGACAGAACAUAAAGACUUGGACAGAGAUCUGUCAGGAGAAAGAGGCACCCUGCCUUCCCCGAUUUGCCUGUUAGACUUAACACUCUAUUUUCCUGGGACCUCAAUUCGAGCUCAAAGCUCCAUCCAGAAAAAAUGGACUUUGUAGUUCCAGUUCCAUUUCAUGCAUUAUUGGUACAGAAGCAAUAUCCAUUCAACUAGGAAUUAGGUCAAAUUGUGAUCCUUCCGGAGGCUGAGGAUAAGCAGGAUGAUAACUCUCAUGAUGCUGGGCAGCAG